rnacentral:rRNA from 1 species
GNCAGAGGNGAAAUUCUUUGGAUUUAUUCGAAGACUAACUACUGCGAAAGCAUUUGCCAAGGAUGUUUUCAUUAAUCAAGAACGAAAGUUAGGGGAUCGAAGACGAUCAGAUACCGUCGUAGUCUUAACCAUAAACUAUGCCGACUAGGGAUCGGAUGAUGUUAAUUUUUUAAUGACUCA